CCUACGGGUGGCAGCAGUGGGGGAUAUUGCACAAUGGGGGAAACCCUGAUGCAGCGACGCCGCGUGAGUGAAGAAGUAUUUCGGUAUGUAAAGCUCUAUCAGCAGGGAAGAAAAAAGACGGUACCUGACUAAGAAGCCCCGGCUAACUACGUGCCAGCAGCCGCGGUAAUACGUAGGGGGCAAGCGUUAUCCGGAAGUACUGGGUGUAAAGGGAGCGUAGACGGCAGUGCAAUUCGGAAGUGAAAUGCGCGGGCUCAACCCGCGUACUGCUUUGGAAACUGUACGGCUGGAGUGCUGGUGAGGUAAGCGGAAUUCCUAGUGUAGCGGUGAAAUGCGUAGAUAUUAGGAGGAACACCAGUGGCGAAGGCGGCUUACUGGACAGUAACUGACGUUGAGGCUCGAAAGCGUGGGGAGCAAACAGGAUUAGAUACCCUUGUAGUC
rnacentral:rRNA from 1 species